CUGCUCACUUCAGCAGCACAUAUACUAAAAAAUUGGAACAAUACAGAGAAGAUUAGCAUGACUCCUGUGCAAAGAUGACCUGCAAAUUCGUGAAGUGUUCCAUAUUUUU